rnacentral:rRNA from 1 species
UACAGAGGGUGCAAGCGUUAAUCGGAUUUACUGGGCGUAAAGGGUGCGUAGGCGGUUAUUUAAGUUGGAUGUGAAAUCCCUGGGCUUAACCUAGGAACUGCAACCAAUACUGGAUAGCUAGAGUGCAGUAGAGGGUAGUGGAAUUCCCGGUGUAGCGGUGAAAUGCGUAGAUAUCGGAAGGAACACCAGUGGCGAAGGCGGCUACCUGGACUGACACUGACGCUGAGGCGCGAGAGCGUGGGGAGCAAACAGG